rnacentral:rRNA from 1 species
ACGGGUGAGUAACACGUGAGUAACCUGCCCUCUUCUUCUGGAUAACCUCAUGAAAGUGGGGCUAAUACGGGGUAUUCCGGGUCUGUCGCAUGGCGGGUUUGGGAAAGAUUGCGCCUUUGGGUGUUUUCGGUGGGGGAUGGGCUCGCGGCCUAUCAGCUUGUUGGUGGGGUGAUGGCCUACCAAGGCGGUGACGGGUAGCCGGCCUGAGAGGGUGGACGGCCACACUGGGACUGAGACACGGCCCAGACUCCUGCGGGAGGCAGCAGUGGGGAAUAUUGCACAAUGGGCGCAAGCCUGAUGCAGCGACGCCGCGUGAGGGAUGGAGGCCUUCGGGUUGUGAACCUCUUUCGCCAGUGAAGCAGGCCUGCUCCUGUGUGGGUGAGUUGACGGUAGCUGGAUAAGAAGCGCCGGCUAACUACGUGCCAGCAGCCGCGGUAAUACGUAGGGCGCGAGCGUUGUCCGGAAUUAUUGGGCGUAAAGAGCUCGUAGGCGGCUGGUCGCGUCUGUCGUGAAAUCCUCUGGCUUAACUGGGGGCUUGCGGUGGGUACGGGCCGGCUUGAGUGCGGUAGGGGAGGCUGGAACUCCUGGUGUAGCGGUGGAAUGCGCAGAUAUCAGGAAGAACACCGGUGGCGAAGGCGGGUCUCUGGGCCGUUACUGACGCUGAGGAGCGAAAGCGUGGGGAGCGAACAGGAUUAGAUACCCUGGUAGUCCA